rnacentral:rRNA from 1 species
AAUGGAGGAAACUCUGAUGCAGCGACGCCGCGUGAGUGAUGAAGGCCUUCGGGUCGUAAAGCUCUGUGAUAAGGGAAGAUGAUGACGGUACCUUAUCAGAAAAGACCGGCUAACUUCGUGCCAGCAGCCGCGGUAAUACGAGGGGUCUAAGCGUUGUUCGGAAUCACUGGGCGUAAAGCGGGUGUAGGUGGCUAUGCAAGUUAGAUGUGAAAGCCCCGGGCUCAACCCGGGAAGUGCAUCUAAAACUACGUAGCUUGAGUGCGGGAGAGAAAGGCAGAAUACCUGGUGUAGUGGUGAAAUACGUAGAUAUCAGGUGGAACUCCGGUGGCGAAGGCGGCCUUUUGGCCCAGCACUGACACUCAGACCCGAAAGCGUGGGUAGCAAA